UACGUAGGGUGCAAGCGUUGUCCGGAAUUAUUGGGCGUAAAGAGCUCGUAGGCGGUGUGUCACGUCGGCCGUGAAAACCUGCAGCUUAACUGUGGGCGUGCGGUCGCUACGGGCAUCACUGGAGUUCGGCAGGGGAGACUGGAAUUCCUGGUGUAGCGGUGAAAUGCGCAGAUAUCAGGAGGAACACCGGUGGCGAAGGCGGGUCUCUGGGCCGAUACUGACGCUGAGGAGCGAAAGCGUGGGGAGCAAACAGG
rnacentral:rRNA from 1 species